rnacentral:misc_RNA from 1 species
CGCACCUUGCGCCCUUUGGUAUUCCGAAGGGCAUGCCUGUUUGAGUGUCAUUAAAUUAUCAACGCGAUAGCUUUAUUGUUAUCUGCGCUUGGACUUUGGAGUGUGCGGGUUCUCUUCGCGAAGAUCCGCUCCUCUUGAAAUGCAUUAGCGGUUUGCCCAUUCGCAGAUCUGCUCCGGCGUGAUAAUUAUCUACGUCGCGGCAGUGAAGCCCCUAUCCGGUGCAGCUGCUCCUAACCGUCGCCCCUUUUGCGACAACCUUAUGACAAUUUGACCUCAAAUCAGGUAGGAUUACCCGCUGAACUUAA